rnacentral:rRNA from 1 species
UACGUAGGGUGCAAGCGUUAAUCGGAAUUACUGGGCGUAAAGCGUGCGCAGGCGGUUGUGCAAGACAGAGGUGAAAUCCCCGGGCUCAACCUGGGAACUGCAUUUGUGACUGCACAGCUAGAGUCCGGUAGAGGGGGAUGGAAUUCCGCGUGUAGCAGUGAAAUGCGUAGAUAUGCGGAGGAACACCGAUGGCGAAGGCAAUCCCCUGGGCCUGUACUGACGCUCAGGCACGAAAGCGUGGGGAGCAAACAGG